rnacentral:rRNA from 1 species
UCUCAAAUCAGGUAGGACUACCCGCUGAACUUAAGCAUAUCAAUAAGCGGAGGAAAAGAAACUAACAAGGAUUCCCCUAGUAACGGCGAGUGAAGCGGGAAGAGCUCAAAUUUAAAAUCUGGCGGUGUAUUCCGUCCGAGUUGUAGUCUAGAGAAGCAUCAUCCGUGCCGGACCAUGUACAAGUCUCUUGGAACAGAGCGUCAUAGAGGGUGAGAAUCCCGUCCUUGACAUGGACUCCCGGUGCUUUGUGUUGAGCUCUCAACGAGUCGAGUUGUUUGGGAAUGCAGCUCAAAAUGGGUGGUAAAUUCCAUCUAAAGCUAAAUAUUGGCGAGAGACCGAUAGCGAACAAGUACCGUGAGGGAAAGAUGAAAAGCACUUUGGAGAGAGAGUUAAGCAGUACGUGAAAUUGUUGAAAUGGAAACGAUUGAAGUCAGUCGCGUUCUCUGGGAUUCAGCCUUGCUUCUGCUUGGUGCAUUUCCUAGUCUACGGGCCAGCAUGGAUUUCGACCGUUGGAAAAGGGCUGGGGGAAUGUGGCACCUUCGGGUGUGUUAUAGCCCCUUGUCGCAUGCAUCGGUUGGGAUCGAGGACCUCAGUGCACGCUUCGGUUGUGCUUUGAUGCUGGCGUAAU